GUCUCUGCUCCUCGGGCGGCCUUGAGCAGUGCCCAACGUUGAGCGUGAGGCUCGUGCUCCGGGUCUCGCGGGCGGCCGCCUCGGGCGUCGAGUCCCGGAGAUUGGACAGACACCAGAGCCCGGGGACCGCGGAGUGACCGGGUGGGGCUGGAGGGCGGCGCCGCGCCUUCUGGGGAGACGCGGAGGUAUCAGGACCUGGGCUAUGCUCCUGAUUUUAUACAGACUGCCAUGGCUCCAGAUAUAAAAGACCAAAUAAAAAGAUGGGGGAGAGGGAGGAACCAAGAUGGCUGACCAGAAGCAGCUGCAGUUGGAGACUCCCACCAAGGAGAAGGAAAAAGAGACAGCAUCUCCCUAUAUUGUGCAGGCUGGCCUCAAGAGAUCCUCCCACCUCGGCCACCCAAGG